GGGCUAUGCACAGAGAAGCAGAACAUCCUUCUUCAACACACAUGCAUGAAAAAAAUUUGGGAUUUUGAUCAAUAAAUAUGGAAAUAAGCAUUAAAUAAGCAGGUAAAUGACUUGGAGCCUCGUUUUCGUGUUAAAGCUUAUUUCCACAUUUAUUGGUCAAAAUAAAGAAUUCUUUUUCAUGCAUGUGUUGAAGAAGGAUGUUCUGCUUCUCUGUGCAUAGCCCAUGAGAAAAAAACUUGAAAUCCUUUCCAUUUAAGGUGGUCAUAAGUUGAAAACAGUUGUGACGUAAUUAUCGAAAGAGUGUAUUGUGUUUAGGCACCCCAUGGGUUUUUUCCCUUUGCCCUGGUUUAGUAUAGGACUCUGGCAUUCAAAUUAUAACAGUCAGGUGGAUUUCUAAAGGUUCGCCUUUUUUAGAUACCCUGUUAACUAGUUACAGCUAUUUUCAAUUUUACAAAUCAAAACAGUCAAAACACCGCGAGUGUAUAUGACCACAAAACAUUGAAAUAAAUAUACUGCCUACAAAACAGGUUAUAUCCGUUAAUGUGCCUGGCACUGGUUGUCUAUAUAUAAGUAUAUGACGCCUUAUAUAGGCUUUAAAUACAAGUUGAUAUAUAUAUGAAGAAGCCAAUAUGCCCAACUUUUGCUAUUGCGAUUGAAUUCUAUUCCUUCAAAAUACAGAAGAGUCUGAAAUUAAUUCAAGAACUUAAUUUAAAAGUAACAAUAAGUGCAUUAAAUCAAAGUCUUAUUGUUUUUGACAAAUAUUUUCUGGAACCUUUGGGUACUAAUAUGUGUAACAUUUAAGUACACAAAAUCUAAAUUAUUGGUACGAACGCGGGACUCCUGAAAAAGGACCCAUAUGCACCUUGCCUUUUGGAUCUUGAAGUUAUUAAUUCAUAUGUAACUGUAUUGAUAAGGCAAAAAAAAAUAUGUGGGUUUCCGGUUUCCCGACCCUACCUAGCUUUUGGACGUCGAAAUCCCGACCCUAAACUUUUUUAUUGGAUCAUGGUUGUAAGUGUUUCCACUUAGAAGAAAAAGUUUGUGGAAAAUUGAAAUUUGAGGCAAUAUUAGGAAAAUUUAUCUUUGGAUGUGGAAGCACUGACUAAACAAAAUGGCGUCCGCUUGUUCGGAAAAUUAAAAAAAAGUUUAAAAAAAAAAGUUAAAACCGAC